rnacentral:tRNA from 1 species
GAGGGUAUAGCUCAGUAGUAGAGCACAUGCUUAACAUGCACAAGGUCCUGGGUUCGAUCCCCAGUACCUCCA